rnacentral:ncRNA from 14 species
ACAACGGCUCUUUUAAGAGCCACACACUUCAUCUUAAAGAGCAAA